CUCACAACUCUUACUUCAUGCGAUAAGUAAUAAUACUUGAAUGGAUAUUCGUGUUUCGUGUUGUAAAUUCGUUAUAUCGCGUUAUAUUUGCUGAAAUUUAGUGUUAAUAGACGGGUUUUAGUCGCUAAAUAUUUAUCACGUGUGUAAUCUUCGGAAUUUAAUGUUUGGUGUGUUUAAUACAGUUUCGCAUGUAUCUGGGAUCGGUUGCCGACGGACGCCACUCGGCCAUAUUGUGUGAUUGUAAAUAAUAUUUUGGAGUUGUGCGAACCAUUUUUGUCUUCAGCAGAACACGACGGGCGGUUGUUCUACCUGAAUCUACUCGCAUUUGAUUUAUAGUGUUCGAUACAAUGAUCCAAGCAAUUUUCGUCGUUUGUUGUGAAACUUUUCAUGCGAUUUGUUAUCGCCUUCGAGUUCCGAUGACCGAGUCACGAGAUAAAUUAGAAUGCGAAUUUGAUUCGCUUCGUUGGUCGACUCCCAAUUUAAAAUAAAAUAAAUAAUGGCACCCCUUCCCACACUUUCCCUCGAUAAUGUAAUUUAUUUCGCAGAUUUUUCUCAUCUUCAUCAAUAGUCUUAGUGUUGCAACGCGUGAAAUACUGGUAUGGUAUCAUUUGGGGUUUGUGUUGUACUGCACACAUGCUCGUAAUACGUAUGUCCUUUUAGUCAUUGCGCACAAACUUGAGCGCGUCCUUUUUAAAUGUUGUCUAGCUUUAGCUCGCAAAGGGGACGUCUCUGGAGGUGUUAAAUUAAAUUCUCCGUGAGGUUGUAUUAAAUUGUUGCGGGAGUGACACAUUAGUAAAUUCGAAAAUGUGGUAUUUUCACAUGCAGAGUGAAAUCGUUUGAGUUUUUCGGUAUAAAAAUUAAAUUAAAGUGUCCGUCGGGUUGUAUUUGGCCAAGCCAAGGCAUUUUACUUCCUGAUUGUAUGAACUCCAAUAAAUGACAAUUUAAUAUUAUA